rnacentral:rRNA from 1 species
UACGUAGGGUCCGAGCGUUGUCCGGAAUUACUGGGCGUAAAGAGCUCGUAGGUGGUUUGUCGCGUUGUUCGUGAAAACUCACAGCUUAACUGUGGGCGUGCGGGCGAUACGGGGCGGGCUAGAGUUCGGUAGGGGAGACUGGAAUUCCUGGUGUAGCGGUGGAAUGCGCAGAUAUCAGGAGGAACACCGAUGGCGAAGGCAGAUCUCUGGGCCGUAACUGACGCUGAGGAGCGAAAGCGUGGGGAGCGAACAGG